AAUUGAUAGGAUUGAUUAGGGAUGCCUCACAGUGAGGGGCCGAGCUUCUGGCUGCGCCCUGAAUGUCGUGUGGGGCCUUUAAACGUGGACACGAAACGUUGUCACUGGAAACUGUGGGAAGCAGGGCUCUCCAGAGAGCAAAGCAGCUGUAGGAAACAAGAAUCUGGGGAAGGGAGCACCAGCCAGGGAUGAGUGUGGGGACCCAGAUGUCUCCUAUGGUAAACCUACCUUUCACUCCCUUUUCCACAUUG
rnacentral:lncRNA from 1 species